UGUAAAUUGCUGGGCUGCAAGAGAUAAAUCUUUGAAUUCUAUAUCACCAAGACCUAGCACUGUUUAAUAUAAUACAUUGACUCUUGAACAACACAGGUCUGAACUGCACAGAUCCACUUACAUGUGGAUUUUCUUCCACUGCGGCCUCUCCUGAGACAGCAAGACCAACCCCUCCUUUUCAUCCUCCUCCUCCUCCUCAGCCUACUCAACAUGAAAAUGACAAGGAUGAAACCUUUAUGAUGAUCCACUCAUCCAUUUUCUUUUCUCUAGCUUAUGGUGAACAUCUUAGGCUAGUGUGUCGACUUCUGACUUGGCUCAUCUGAACCCAAGUCCUUGGACACAUUCACAAACACCCCAGGGUCUUGGGCUUCCAGUUUGUGCUAGAAGGACAAAGGGCAGGUGAAGCUUGUUUGCCGUAACUAGAAGGAGCAGAAACUGCUCCCAGCAGAACAAGAUCAAAUCAUGGGGAACAGUGGUCACCUGCCAUUUCUAGAGGAAGCUUUUGCUUUUGGUCACUGAGGACCCUAAGUCUUACAUGAGAAGAAAACAAAUAGGGUGAUGCUGCAUGCUUCUGUCCCCAAAGAAUCCCUGUGCAGGUGCCGAGGGUGCCCCAAAGACGAGGCUGUGCUUGCCGUGCCCACCACAGAAGCACAUUUGACCUGAUCAAAAGCAGGUGGAAAAGGUCCUGAAGCACAGAUAUUUUCUCAGUGAUGUUGUUUUCUCCAAAAUGAAAGAGGGAAGGUACCCUGGCUUAGGCCCCUGGUGUUCUGAUUGAAGGUGAGAAUGGAAGUAUCUUCUUCAACAUGUUCUCCCAUCUGACUGCAACAAGUGUGCUCCAGCCACCAGUGUCCCAGUUGCUCUGAAUGAUGGUGAGAAGGGUACCCAAACACUUGAAUGGUACUGUACCCUCUACUUGCCAUCUGAAUCCUCACUUGUGGAACCCAGGCACUCUGGCUGUAUUCGCGAGUAAGCAUAGGUGUGGGACUGUGUCCUGCCAUUGCACCAUCUUUAAUCUGGACUUGUGGACCUCAGGCUCUCUGACUAUUCAUGGACAGAAGUUUCUGCAGGCACAGGUGGGGUGCUGUUUCCUCCCAUUGUACACCUGAAUUCAGGACUUGUGGACCCCAGGUGUUCUGGCUGUGUUCAUGAACAGAAGUGUCCCCCCCAAACAAACCCAUAUAUGGUGCCAUCUCCUCCCAUUACAGUCACAGAUAUGGCACCAGCCCCUCCAACAGAAACAGAUGUGCUCAAGCUGAGUGGUCCAAAGGCGUUUGACAGAAGUCAUGAACAGAAGUAUCUUGGGGCACAUGUUUCUUCUCUGUUGUGCAGGCUUCUCCAGCAGUAACAGGUUUGCCCAGGCCAUAUGGGCCCCAAGCGCUCUGACCAGACACAAGAAGAGAAGACUUGCAGUCACAGGUAGUGUGUUGUCCCCUGCUACUGCAACAUAGGUGCUUGGAAAGGUGCAACAGGGUGCUCUGCUUGUGGUGGAAACAUAAAGGCCUCCAAGCAUAGAUGUGCUGCUUUCUCCUUCCCUUUGAGGGAUGCAGAUGUGCUCUGGCCAGCUGCAUUCCAGGUGGUCUGUCUGCAAGACAGAAGUGUCCCAAGCACUGGUAUGUGCGGGCUCCUCCAACCACAACAGACGUGCUUUGGCCAGAUGGUUUCCAGGUGUUAUGAACACAAGAAGGAACAGAGGUGCCUUCUGGAACAUGUUUCUUCUCAGUGAUGUUCUAAGAGGUGUGCUUUGGCAGGACAGGCCCCAGCUGCUCUGACUGUAGGCAGGGAGGAAAGUGUUUCCCAGGAGUUUUUGCUUUCAGUAGUACUGCCCUCUCCAACUGUACCAGAGGUGCUGUAGGCUUGCAGGAACCCCGGUGCUCAUGUGUAAGCCUCCCCAACAUAAACUAAGGUGCUGCAUGCCCCUCUAGGCCCUGUUCUAAAGCUGAGUGCUUCAGAUGUGGAGCUGGGUCUGGGGCAGACACACUGGUCCUAGAGCUGUCAUUAUCCAAAGAAGCCCCAGAGUCCAUGAAUGGAAAUGGGUCGAGAGAGGGGUUAGCAAAAGGUGAACUGUGCCUGAUGCUGAGCAUCCAGUGAUGGCUCCAGAGCUAGAAGUAGUGGCUGUGCAAAUGGGAAAAGGACCCGAGGUGCCACCCAAGGCUGAGUGGGUGCUAGCAGAGAUAUCAAAGAUGGAUAUGGAGGUAACACGUACGCAAAAUCUGAUGGCAUUAUGCUCCCAUUGGGUGUCUGGGCUGCAGUAAAGGCUCAGUUUAGAGCUUGUAUUGAGAUUUUACGUUUCUCAAAGGGUAAAUGCUAUCAAAUACAUUGGGGGAUCCUGCCAGGGGGAGGCUAGAAAGAGGACAUGGUAACCAUAUUGAUUUCAUCAGAGUUAAAGGCAGACUUGGCUGCCCAGUUGGUCAAGGUCCUAGCUACUAGAAAACAGACAAUUGCUGAAGUAGUGAUAAGUAUGAUGGUGCAGACAGGUAUCCUAGAAGACUGACUCUUUGCUGCUGCCCUUUAGGAGCUCCAAAUGUGACUGAGAGGUGGCUUCUGGGCUAAAGGAAAGGUUCAAAGUGGGGUAGGGCUGUUUACCAUAAACAUAGGUGGGUUAGUGGGGACUGCCUUUUGCAGGGGGCUGUCCACUCCACACUGCAAUGAGCCAGUCAAAUGGGAGUUCCAAGACCAGAGGAAACCUAGCCCAGAGCUUGAGUCUUCCAGGCUAACCCUGGGUCCUGGGGGGACCAGGAGAUGAGACCCAGGGAAUAGUAGUGUCCAUGUCGGUCAUCUCAAAGGUUCAAAGCAGGCUGGGAGGUCAAGUCUGCAGAUGGGCUGACUGGGCAGUGGAAGUGAUAAGGUUGGCCAGUUAAUGAUGGGUUGAUAUAUUCAUCUGUUUUCACACUGCUAUGAAGAACUAUGUGGGGCUGGGUAAUUUAUAAACAAAAGAGGUUUAAUUAACUCACAGUUCCACAUGGCUGGGAGGCCACAGGAAACUUACAAUCAUGGCAGAAGGCAAAGGGGAAGCAAGGCAUGUCGUACUUGGUGGCAGGAGAGAGUGCAGAGGAAACUGCCACUUAUAAACCGUCAGAUCUCAUGAGAAUUCCCUCACUAUCAUGAGAACAGCAUGGGGGAGACCACCCCUACAAUCCAGUCACCUCCCACCAAGUCCCUCCCUCCACACAUGGGAAUUACAAUUCAGAUUACAAUUCAAAAUGAGAUUUGGGUGGGGACAUAGAGCCAAACCAUAUCAGUUAGUCAGUGAAGACUGAGGUAUCUGUAGAAGUGAGGGAGGAGCACAGUGGUCUGGAUGAACCAGUGGGGUGAUAGUCAGGGGACUGGCAUUCAGUGAGGCUGGGGGAGAAGCUUCCUAAAAGCAUUGCCCUUGAAAAGCAGGGCAUACCUAUCUGAUACUGAGGAUGUAGAAUGCAGUUUGGAGAUGCUUCCUAGCUACCUAAUCUUCCAAGGCAAACCAUGCACUCUUCAUCCUGAUAUUUGUGAUGCCUCCCUGGGCUACAUGACAGAGGGUGCACUGCAAAGGAUGUGAAGGAAAGUCACCACAGGGCAAAGGUGGAAACCCAGGGGCCUUUCCCCAGUGAGACUUUCUGGCUGUUCCUUUGGAACUUCCACCUGCUAGUUGCAGAUGUUUGCCACUGGAUGGGGCCCCAUGCUACGUGGGAACUGUUCAGGACUGUGGGUACUUAGUUCCAGCAGAGCUGGCUCCACCAGGGCACCAGGACUGCAGGCUUCUCAACUCCUGGCCUGGAGAGGCAGCUUCAGCAACCAGUGCCUGGGAAUCCACUAGCCCUUUCUCUGUGAGUCACGUGAGGGCAGAAUCUGCUCAAAGUCAGAGGGCUGGAGCAACCUGGAUUGUGCCAGAGUGAGGGCCCAGCUCACUGGAGGUCAGAGUAAGAGAGUCAAGGAUGGGAAGAAACAGGGUUUUGCUCAGUCUUGCAGAUACUGAGGCACUCAGGAGGCUCAGGAUGGCAGCAACAGGGCAUGUGCUAAACUUACCCUAGCCUCUUCCUUUUAGGCAGCCACCACAGAGGACAUCUGUUUGCCUCUGUACCCUACCCCAUCUCCAUGCUGGUAGAUAUAGUCUGGGGAUACCUUUAAAACAAACAAACAAACAAACAAAACAGGAUCUGUCUAUCACCUGUCCAAAUCCUGAAGCAAAAUGAGCCUUCUUUAUGGCCACCUUGGAAAGGCCUGAGUCCCCAGCAUCACCUGGGAUACAAAGUGUUCUGAGGUGGGGGCAGAGUGCCCUCCUGCCCAGAUGCCACACUCCACAAUAUCUCUUCCUGGCAGACAGGUUUCUCUUAACUUCCUUUGGCAAAUUUGGUUUCACUUCCUUUUGCAACUUUAGAACCUUUCUCAGGUCAGUCAUAAGGUAGUGGAGAAGCCAGGAUUUGAACCCAUUCUGUCUGAUUCCAGAGCUCAUGCAUUAACCACCUGACUGUGGUGCCUCCCCAUCAUAUGUGCAUCAAGUAUGAUCAUUUUUGUAGUUCUCAGAGUACUUAGCACCAUGCACAUCUGUAAUAAGUACAGCCACUGCCUACUGGGAGGUCUAAAGGUUCAACUCAUAAGGGACCCACAGGCCACACUGGGCUCCAGUCUCCUUAAAAGAUGUGGGACGGAGAUCAACAAUUGUCAGCAGAACCCCAUCAGGCAUUUGUCUUCUCACUGAGCCUUGCAGCAAACCACACAGCUGUCUAUAACCUAUCUGUUCCCAGAUUCAAGAACACAAGCUGCUCAUCAGUUGGGUGCAGGAUCCACUCUAGUACAAAAGCUGUGUGUCUCAAGGCAUAAUUCCUUAUGAUUACUUCAUAGCUCUGCUUUUGUCUUGAGACAAAAGAAAUUUCCUUCAAUUCCUACUUUUGCUGAGAUAUUGUUUUUUGAAAAGCAAUUAAAUCUUGUCAAUCACUUUUCCCACCUCUUUGAGAUACUUACAUGGCUUUUCUUCUUUAUUCUCUUAGUGUGGUAAAUUACAUUGAUUUAUUUUAAAUAUGAAACCAGCCUUGAAUUCCAGGAACAAACUCCAUUUGGACAUGCUAGAACAACCUUUUAUAUUUGUUUAGAUUUGAUUUCCUGAAGUGGUGUUAAAAGGUUUUCAUAUCUAUGUCUGUGAGGGAUAUUAAUCUGUACAUUUUUUUAUUACUAUUUUCUGGUGUUAUGGUAAUGCUAGUCUCAUAGAAUGAAUUAGGAAAAGUUGCCUCCUUCUGUAUUUUCUGAGAGUUUGUGUGGCACUGGUAAAAUAUUUUCUGUAUAUGUUUGACAUAAUUCACCAGGAAAAUUAUUUGUACCUACAAGUUCCCUCCUGGAAAGAUGUUGAUAAUCACUUAUUAUCCUUUCAUUGUCUGCCAGAUCUGUGGCAUUGCUUUUUUCUCUGGUAUUAGUAAUUUAAAUUUUCCCUUAUUUCUUGAUCAAUUUUGGCAGAGAUUUAUCAAUUUUAUUAAUCUCUUUUAAAAAUCUGUAUUGAGCUUUGUUAAUUUUCUCUAUUACAUACUUUUUAUUUCUACUCUUACGAUUGCUAUUUCUUUAUUUCUCCUUUGGAUUUAGCCCAUUUUUCUAUUUGUCUAAUUUUAGGAUUUAAAAUUCAAUCAUUAUUUUUAGAUAUUUUUAUUUUUAAAUAUAAACAUGAAAGUUGCAAUAUUACCUUGGGCACUGUUUUGACUGCAUUCCACAAGUUUUUAUUUGUCAUGUUUUAAUCACCAUUCAGUUCAAAAUACUUUCUAAUGCUCCUUGUUAUUUCUUCUUUGACCCAUUGGUUAUAUAAAAGUACGUUUUGCUUUAUUUCUAAAUAUGUGAAGACUUUCUAGAUAUCUCAGUUAUUUAUUACUAAUUUAAUUUUAUUGUAGCCAGAGAAAAUACACUGUAUGUGUUCAAUCUUUGGAAAUUUCUUGAGACUUAUUUUUUGACCCAGUAUGUUUGCCCUCAUGAACAUUCCAUAUUCACUAGAAAAAGAAUGUGUGUUCAAAUAAUGUUGGAUAUAGUGUUAUGCAAAUGCCACUAAAUCAAGAUAAAUCUUUUGCACUCUUGUUUUUUGCCUGCUUGUUCUAACAAUAAGUGAGAAAGAAGUGUUAAUAUCUCCAAUUGUGAUUGUAAUUUGACUGUUAUCCUUUGGUUUGGUCAGUUUUUGCCUGUUGAAAUUCUGCUAUUAAAACAUAAACAUUUAAGAUAUUUAUAUCUUCCCAAGAGAGAUGCUAAAGAAAAGUGUAAAAAACCAAAGCCAUUCUUAUGUACAUCAGAAUAUAUGGACAAAAACUUUCACAGCAACAUCAUUAUCGCAAGUAACUGAAAGCAAUACAAAGGCACAUCAACAAAAGAUUGGACAGAUAAAUUGUUCCUUCAAUGGCAAUGAAAAUGGAUGUUACAGAGAUACAUGGAUACAUGGAACACCCUGAGUGAAUCUUACAUUUAUUUUGCAGAAGAUAUCAAACCAAACAGAGCACAUAUUAUUCCAUUCAUGUAAAGGUCAGUAACAGCCACAUAUAAGCUAUAUUUUGGAGAUUCAUACACAAUAGAAAAAACUAUUUAAAAAGUCAGAUAAUACUGAUUUUAAAAAUCGGGAUGUUGAAUUCAUCUGGGUGUUGAGGGAGGAGCACAUUGUGACCCAGACAGAGCACUCAGGACUCUGAGCACACUAAUACUCUGUAUUGCCUUCAGUGGUAGUUACAUCAGUAUCAACUUAAGAAAAAUUUAUUAAAAUCUACAUAAAUAAUAAAUAAUUUUCUAUAUGUAUGUUAUAUUUCCCAAUGCUAUGAAAUGAAUUGUGUCUCCCCAAAAUGUAUGUGUUGAAGUCCUAGCCCCCAGCACCUCAGAAUGUGACCGCAUUUGGAGAUGGAACCCUUUUUUUUUAUUUUUGAGACACAGUUGCCCAGACUAGAGUGUAGUGGCGUGAUCUCGGCUCACUGACCUCUGCCUCCUGGCUCAAACAAUUCUCAUGCCUCAGCCUCCUGAGGAGCUGGGAUUACAGGUGUGUGCCACCGCAUAUGGCUAAUUUUUGUAUUUUUAGUAGAAAUAGUAGACGCCAUGCAUAAAUACCAAUUCUCUCCAAAUUGAUCUAUUUCUCAAUCUACACAUAUUCUACUGGUGAUCUCAUCCAAGGUUGUGGCUGCAAGUACACCACUACAAGCCAAAAAAUUAUGUGUAUAUCUCCAUCUCAGGCUUGUCUUCCAAACUCCAUGGUCAUAUAUCUAAUAUUGUAUUUCUUCUUGUCUUCUCUUUGUAUUUGUGUAGAACAAAAGAAAA
rnacentral:lncRNA from 10 species